rnacentral:misc_RNA from 1 species
AUAAUAGUGGACUUUGCUCCACUACGGUGGCUUAUGUGCCCCGUGCUCCUCAAACACUUGAUUACAUUUCCCUUUGCUUUCCGCAUCAGCAAUGGUGCGGAACAUCAUUUGUAACCUCUGUUUAACUGCAAUGUCUGAAUACAACUUAAUAAGUUA